rnacentral:rRNA from 1 species
UACGGAGGGGGCGAGCGUUAUUCGGAAUCAUUGGGCGUAAAGGGCGCGUAGGCGGCCCCGUAAGUCUUGGGUGAAAGCCCUCGGCUCAACCGAGGAAUUGCCUUGGAUACUGCGGGGCUCGAGGCUGGAAGAGGACAGUGGAAUUCCCGGUGUAGCGGUGAAAUGCGUAGAUAUCUGGAGGAACACCGGUGGCGAAGGCGGCAUCCUGGACCAACACUGACGCUGAGUGAGCGAAAGCCAGGGGAGCAAACGGG